rnacentral:rRNA from 1 species
GAUGAACGCUGGCGGCGUGCCUAAUACAUGCAAGUCGAGCGAACAGAUGAGAAGCUUGCUUCUCUGAUGUUAGCGGCGGACGGGUGAGUAACACGUGGGUAACCUACCUAUAAGACUGGAAUAACUCCGGGAAACCGGGGCUAAUACCGGAUAAUAUUUUGAACCGCAUGGUUCAAUAGUGAAAGACGGUUUCGGCUGUCACUUAUAGAUGGACCCGCGCCGUAUUAGCUAGUUGGUAAGGUAACGGCUUACCAAGGCGACGAUACGUAGCCGACCUGAGAGGGUGAUCGGCCACACUGGAACGGAGACACGGUCAAGACUCCUACGGGAGGCAGCAGUAGGGAAUCUUCCGAAAUGGGCGAAAGCCUGACGGAGCAACGCCGCGUGAGUGAUGAAGGUCUUCGGAUCGUAAAACUCUGUUGUUAGGGAAGAACAAAUUUGUUAGUAACUGAACAAGUCUUGACGGUACCUAACCAGAAAGCCACGGCUAACUACGUGCCAGCAGCCGCCGUAA